UACGAAGGGAUCUAGCGUUGUUCGGAUUUACUGGGCGUAAAGGGCGCGUAGGCGGUCAAGUAAGUAAGAUGUGAAAGCCCCAAGCUUAACUUGGGAACAGCAUUUUAAACUGCUUGGCUAGAGUAUGGGAGAGGUUAGUGGAAUUUCCAGUGUAGAGGUGAAAUUCGUAGAUAUUGGAAAGAACACCAGUGGCGAAGGCGACUAACUGGACCAUAACUGACGCUGAGGCGCGAAAGCGUGGGGAGCAAACAGG
rnacentral:rRNA from 1 species